UACGUAGGUCACGAACGUUAUUCGGAAUCACUGGGCUUAAAGGGCGCGUAGGCGGCUUAGCAAGUAGAGGUUGAAAUCCGGCGGCUCACCCGUCGAACUGGUCUCUAAACUGCUAGGCUGGAGUCAUGGAGGGGUGCGUGGAACUUGUGGUGGAGCGGUGAAAUGCUCAGAUAUCACAGGGAACACCGGUGGCGAAGGCGACGCACUGGCCAUGUACUGACGCUGAGGCGCGAAAGCCAGGGGAGCGAAC
rnacentral:rRNA from 1 species